AGAAAUUAGUUAUUUUAGCUUAGUAUAGUUUGUUAGUCUCUUUUAGCAAUUAUAUCUUCAAUUUAUGAACAACUAAAAAGUUGUUCAUAACAGUGGACUCUUCUUUAUGGCGCGAUUUAUGCUCAAUCGGCAAGGAAUAUGAUUAUGAACCAAAAUUGGCUUGCCUAAUGUAAUUCAAAGGGAGCCCGCUAACAGAUAAAGUAUUUUGUUCUGGAUGGAN
rnacentral:lncRNA from 1 species